UACGGAGGGUGCAAGCAUUAAUCGGAUUUAUUGGGCGUAAAGGGCUCGUAGGCGGGAAGAUAAGUCGGAUGUGAAAUCCCGGGGCUCAACCCCGGAACAGCAUCUGAAACUGUCGUUUCUAGAGGGUAGGCGGAGAAAACGGAAUUCCACAAGUAGCGGUGAAAUGCGUAGAUAUGUGGAAGAACACCGGUGGCGAAGGCGGUUUUCUAGCUUAAACCUGACGCUGAGGCGCGAAAGCAAGGGGACCAACAGG
rnacentral:rRNA from 1 species